CCUACGGGAGGCAGCAGUGAGGAAUCUUGGUCAAUGGACGAGAGUCUGAACCAGCCACGUAGCGUGAAGGAUGACUGCCCUAUGGGUUGUAAACUUCUUUUAUAAAGGAAUAAAACGAGGCACGUGUGCCUUUUUGCAUGUACUUUAUGAAUAAGGAUCGGCUAACCCCGUGCCAGCAGCGGCGGUAAUACGGAGGAUCCGAGCGUUAUCCGGAUUGAUUGGGUUUAAAGGGAGCGCAGGUGGGUUGUUAAGUCAGAUGUGAAAGUUUGCGGCUCAACCGGAAUAGUGCAAUUGAUACUGGCAGACUUGAGUACAGUUGAGGUAGGCGGAAUUCGAGGUGUAGCGGUGAAAUGCGUAGAUAUCACGAAGAACACCGAUUGCGAAGGCAGCUUACUAAACUGUGACUGACAUUGAUGCUCGAAAGUGUGGGUAUCAAACAGGAUUAGAUACCCCUGUAGUC
rnacentral:rRNA from 1 species